UGGGGAAUUGUUCGCAAUGGGCGCAAGCCUGACGACGCAACGCCGCGUGGAGGACGAAGAUCUUCGGGUCGUAAACUCCUGUCGAGCGGGAAGAACGCUUCCCGGAUGAAUAAUCCGGGGAGGUGACGGUACCGCUAAAGGAAGCCCCGGCUAACGCCGUGCCAGCAGCCGCGGUAAUACGGUGGGGGCUAGCGUUGUUCGGAAUUACUGGGCGUAAAGCGCACGUAGGCGGCUUUGUAAGUUAGAGGUGAAAGCCCGGGGCUCAACUCCGGAAUUGCCUUUAAGACUGCAUCGCUAGAAUUGUGGAGAGGUAAGUGGAAUUCCGAGUGUAGAGGUGAAAUUCGUAGAUAUUCGGAAGAACACCAGUGGCGAAGGCGACUUACUGGACACAUAUUGACGCUGAGGUGCGAAAGCGUGGGGAGCAAAC
rnacentral:rRNA from 1 species